UAUAGAGCUUUAAAUUAAUAUUUUUAUCAUGCUCAUCUUUAUCUAAUUUACAAAAAGGGAUCAUAGGUGCACUUACAAUUUUUGAGCUCUCCAUUUCAAUUUUUUUUUAACAAUUCUCUUAUGUACUUACUUUGGGUGAUGGAGAUCCCUUUCUUUAUUUGUUUAAUCUAGAGUCUGAGGAAAAAAUUGAGUUCUCCCAUCAUACUCAUCUCGAACUUUCCCUACA
rnacentral:lncRNA from 1 species